rnacentral:rRNA from 1 species
UACGUAGGGUGCAAGCGUUGUUCGGAAUUACUGGGCGUAAAGGGCUCGUAGGCGGCCAACUAAGUCAGACGUGAAAUCCCUCGGCUUAACCGGGGAACUGCGUCUGAUACUGGAUGGCUAGAGGUUGGGAGAGGGAUGUGGAAUUCCCGGUGUAGCGGUGAAAUGCGCAGAUAUCGGGAGGAACACCAAUGGCGAAGGCAGCUCGCUGGACGUGGACUGACGCUGAGACGCGAAAGCGUGGGGAGCA